UACGGGGGGAGCAAGCGUUGUUCGGAUUUAUUGGGCGUAAAGCGCGUGUAGGCGGCUUUGCAAGUCGGGUGUGAAAGCCCUCAGCUCAACUGAGGAAGUGCGCCCGAAACUGCAGAGCUUGAGUACUGGAGAGGAUGGUGGAAUUCCCCAAGUAGAGGUGAAAUUCGUAGAUAUGGGGAGGAACACCGGUGGCGAAGGCGACCAUCUGGACGGAUACUGACGCUGAGACGCGAAAGCGUGGGUAGCAAACAGG
rnacentral:rRNA from 1 species